CCAGAUUCAUACGCGGGUUCUGCCUCUGACCACACACGGUUCCAUUGUGGCUCAGGAAACCCCUUAGCCUCCUUGAGCAUAUGCUCCUUUCCCCCUUCCUCAUGAUAAAAGGGAGCUGAGAAAACCCACUUUGCUGGGUGUGGCAAGGCUAACCAUGGUGGCAUUGCUUGGCACCUAGAAUGUGUUCGGUUCAGCCUUGCCCAUUGAAGCAGAUGAAACGGAGAGGAAGUUCACCCUGGCCUCCUUCACACUACCCCCGUGACCCAAAUAAGAAAAUCGAGGCAUGGAAACAAAGAAUGUUGUCCACAGCCACACCGAGGGGACAAAGUAGAGCUGGAAUUCCAACACUGGUCUGUCCAGCUUCAAGACCCAACCUUUCUAUGAGGAUGAAAAUAAUGAAACAAAUCAAAAGAGAUGAAACAACCUCGGCCUACAGGCUAAAGAAUGCGCUCACUACUCACUCAAGUCAUACUGAAGAUGUGGAACACAUCAUUUUGCUGGUACAGCGGCAGAUUCACAGAUGAGAAUGUCAGGGAUUCUGUCUCGGAGGCGCUCAUGUCCUUACGAGCAUUCACCCUCACAGGUUCUGGAACAAGCUCCAAGGCAGAGGGAUGACAGCCUGGCUGAGCCGCACCGCACAGGUGCUCUUCCCCAGCGCAGACGCCCUGCCGUGUCCUGACAGUCCCGCGUUUCCCUCAAUCUGAAGGUGUGGAUAAUUAAGGUAUGUUUUGAAUCAAUGAAGCAAAACUUUUACUGGAAGAAAGACUGCAGGAAUUCAUGAGUUAUACAGAAUCUGGUGGUGAACUUCUUGAAGGUAACAUCUGUGAUUUAUUCAUCUUGAUACCAUUAUUGCCCAGCACAGCGCCUGGCACAGAGUAGUAGUGCUGUGAAAACUAGACUCAACAGGAUGACACUUGUCCCAAAGCUGACACCUUCUAGAGAACUGGGAUUAUCUGUGGAUAAUCCUCCAUUGGCUCAUCCACAGACAUGUGAUAAACAGUAUGAAACAAAAUCAAAUAUUGAACUCAUGGUCUUUUGGUGAGUUGAGUUUCAUUUUUUGAACACCAUGCAAAAUUAUGCUGCCUAUUUUUCAAGGAAUAAAACAAUGGAAAAUUAUACCAGAAAGAUGAGAUUUCUUCACUUCCUCCUUUCUCCACUGCGGACAAAGUCCACGUGAAGGAAUUCUGGAAAGACAACUGCCUGGCAGCAAAAUGGACUGUGCCCUAAUUUUACAAAAACUUCUUCUUAGAGGUUAUAGAGUACUCACCUUGUCAGAGAUAAACAUUUGCAGACCUGCAUUAGCCUGUUGAUGGCCUUGGAAUAUCACCUUUCUACAGUUAAGUAUUCUGAGUGAAUAUUGUGAUUAAUCUUUUUUUGAAUGCACAUUACUUGAAAUCUUUCUUUGUAUGUAUGUAUGUAUCUAUCCAUCUGUCUAUCCAUCCAUCCACCUGUUUAUCAUCUAUCUAUGAUUUACCUAUCCAUCCAUCAUCAUCUAUCUUUACUAUGUAUAUUAUUGCUUCCCUAGUUUGAGGUCAUAUGCUUAAAUGCUAUUUUAUUCUAUUUUCUUUUCUAAAUUUGUUUAACUUGUGGCUACAAAAACAUCUCUCACUAAUGGAUCCCAAACCAAUUGCAAGAAAGCUGGGAAGAAUAUGUGCGUCCUGUGUGUGUGUGUGUGUGUGUGUGUGUGAUGUUGGUUAUGCCUGUAACAAUUUACUGUAACGUGUUGAGAACUUGUGGGAGAGUAGUCACUUGGUCCUGGUUAGGGAAUGUUCUUUUUAUGUUUUCUGACUGCAGAUUUUUAAGUAAAUGAUAAAAGUCACAUUAAAAAGUGAAUCUUUAUAUUUUAGGCUUCAUUUCCUUUAUUUCUUAAAAUUAAUCUUAAGGGUAAUGUUUUGAUGGCAGAAAUGUUUUUGGAUAUUCUUUGGUUAUACCUCAAGGUUUUCACAAUGAAUAGCUUAACUGACCAAUCUUUUUUCUUUUUUUCAGAUGCUUUACUGCUCUUGAUUUUUUCGUCAUAGUGUUCAUUUUUUUAAAUUAUGUUCCGCUUAGUUUGAAUCUUAAAUUAUUUAUUACUUCUCAUUUUUAAAGAUGAAGGACUUAGUUAGCAAUCUUUUUCAGUCCCUAUGUCUUAAUUCUGUUUUCUAUGACCUGCAGAGACCAAAAUUAGCAUAUCUGGGGCUUACCACUCCUUGUAAUUGCUUUGUUUAUCCUAGAUUUGUGUUGAUUUUCAUCUAAACCUUUGUCUUCUGAAAGUCUAAAAGGCAAAAUCUGAAGCCAUUCAUCUUCUUGUAUCUUUAAUAUUACUUACCUUCCUCCUGGACUCAUGUAAGAUUAUCCUUGCAUUUGGAGGGGAGGGAAAAAUAUUUUUCCAUCUACCCUCUUCUAGAUUCUCAGUUGAAGCUCUGCAACGAAAGAUAGAUUAAUGAGCAAAAAACUAACAGAAGUUUACUAAUGUGUAUAUCUCAUAUGUAUAUGAGAGAAACUCAGGGAUGAGUAACUUAAAGGUUUGGUUAGAACUCGGACUUGUAUAGCAAAGGAACAAUGCAUUUUUAAAGAAGUGACAAGACAGAGGAAAGGGACCUUUAACCUCUAGAAAUAGUAAAUUGUGGAAAUGCAAAUAUAUGAAAAACUAGUGGUAGACGAAGUCUAGUUGGUAAAGUUUAUUAUGCAGAUCCCUCUGGUACCAUCCCAUCUCCAGGAUGACAAAGAUCUAAAGUUGUCUCUGGUGAUUAACUUUCGUCCUUCCUGGUACAGAGGUGAAGAGGAGCACUUUUGCAAAUUUACUUCCUAAUUUUAGGAAAAUAGGUGGAGGGCAGAGAGCUUUGUUUUUUUUUUUUUUUUUUUUUUUUUUGGGGGGGGGGGGUAUCUAUUUCUUCACAUUUUUUUACUCAAAAUCCUUAUUAUGCCAAAGUGGCAUUUUUGCUACCCAUGACAUUUAAGGUCAUAAAACUUGAAAAUUAGAGGAAAAUUUUUCUCUUCCAAUGUUGCUUCUAAGAAAAAAUCAAUGGCAAAUUAAAAUUAAUGUCCACAUGAGAUUUCAUAUCUGGGAUUUAAAAAGUAAUGUGCAGUGAAAAAUCACAUCUCUAAUUAUACAAAAAUAAAUACAGAUCAUGGAAUAAAAACAAGAGCUAAAGAGUAAAGAGAAAAAUGAGAUAAAAACACACAUGAAAAUCUAUUCUGAAACAGCACCUGGAUUUGAGAAGAAAAUUAAGUUGCUUUCUUGUAUAGCAUGGUAAUUAAGAGCAUGACUCUGGGGCCAGAUACCUAUGUUCAAAUCUAUCUGACACCAUUAAUGUAAUUGUGAUUGGGGUCAAAUAACCUCCUUAAGUCUGAAAUAAGUGGGGAUAAAAAUAAUACCUUUCUCAUGGUAUCAUGAGGAAUAAAUGAUUUAAUACGUUUAAAGCAUUUAGAAAAGUGGCCAAGGAACUCUAGGUAUAAAGAUGAAUGUGACAUACUUUAUGUUCCUUGACAGCUAUCAGUAACUCUUAUAAGCAAAAUGUAAAAUAGUGAAAGUUAAAUGCGCCAAGAUGGAUAAAUGGUGGACAGAUAGAUGAGCAUAGCAGUGUGGACAUUAGAGUAUCUAUUCAAUAAAUAAAGAAGCUGAGACCCAAAGAGUUUGUGAUCUCUCGGCUAACAAGAUCACAGGCUGAGAAUACAACUUCUUUUGCCAUCUCCAAGGAGAGAACCAAGGAGGGAGGCUUUUUUUCCUCUGUGCAGCGUAAGCUCAGUUUCUUUACUUACUAGAUAUAUGGUCUUCGGAAGUUGUUCAGCUGCCCUGAGACUUAAUUUCUGUAUCUAUGAAACAGAGAUGAUAAUAGUAUUUGCCUCUGAAAACUGCUGUGAGUAUGAAAUGAGAUGAUAUGUAUAAAGGGCUGUGCAGAGUGCCUGGCUUACAGCAAGCAUUCAAUAGAUUUUAACCUCUAUUAAUAGUAACAUAAAUAUUUUAUUUCAUCUCAAUGCCAUUUGUGGAGAGUAGAUUAGAUACCUGGAGAUACAUAGUCAAGAUUAGUACUAUUCUUGUAUCCAAUUUUUGCUUCUGAGGAGAGAAUACAAGACAGAAACAAUCAGAAAUAAUAAAUACAUGGGAUAAAUACUACAAUUACAAGGCACAGUCUUCCCAGAAGAAGUAAUUAAUUGCAAAACGAAGUGACAUGAGUUUUCCUCCUUUCUCUUUAAACUCCCACAAGAGGCUAUAAAAUGCCUCAAAAUACUCCAACAUAUGUGCUUCAGAAAAAAAGAGAAGAAAAAACCUCUGGACAAUGCAGUCUAUAUAAAGUCCCUUGGGCAAUUCCUGGCACCCAAAAGGUGUUCAAUGCAGGUUGAAUUGCCUCUUUAUGUAAAUGUUUCUAUGCCUUCUCCACAAAUACCCAAUGUCCCCAAAGCAGGUUUGUCAACCUUGAGGUCUGAGUAAUGCCAAAAAAGAAAAAAAAAAAACCUGUCCUUUGUAGGGGGAAGUUAUGGCAUUCGUUUGCACACAGUUUGGAUUAAUAAUAAAGCAUCUAGAAAUAUGUGCUCUUAAGGGCUGGUUUUAAAAUGUAAUAUGGUUAAGCCUCUGAAAGCUGUUGGGUUUUUUUUGAAAGAUGAUUGUGGCCUGAAUGAUAAUGAGUGUCACUGACAAUCAAAUAAGUUAGAGAACUCUUGGAAGCAAGACUUAUGAUGAGAAAAAUCACAAUUAGUUAUACUGUGCAGAGAUGCUAUUCUGUAAGCCAUUCAGUUGCUAAUUCAACAUGAGUUUCCUGAGGCCUGGGGAUGCACAGCAACCUGUGUCCAGCACUGGAGGCAGCCCGUGAAGUGUGGGGUAGAACCCUGUUCAGGUGCUCAGGUUCCCAUAAGAAGACAACACAUACACUCACAAGUCAACCAAAUUACAUUGUCCAAGGUCAAUAAAAAUUCUGUAAUGAGGAAUUGCAAUGCAGAAUGAGAUUCAGGCCAGAUGAGAGGCAUAAGCAGUAACUUCUUUGAAUUAUGGGGACAAGAAGGCACUGAGGAAUGCAAGGACCAGGGAAGGUUUUAUGGAGGAGGUGAGAUCUUGAGCUGAAACUCAGUGGAUGCUCAGCAGCAGGAGAUGCAUGAAAGAGCUGAGUUGCCAGGACCAUGAGAAGGGGUUGCUGCUAUAUAAGGGGAGCAGACCAAAUAAUGUUCUGCACUUGGGAAACCUACUGGGGCAUCUCUUAGAAUUAUCAUGCUAUGGCUUGAUAAAAUGUGGUAACUAGGGGCCUAGACUCCUCAGGGAUGGUGGUUUCAGUAGCCCCUCCAGGAAGGUCACCUACACUGACAGAGGCACUAGCCAAAGCUUCACGGGAAAUCUAAAACAGUGUCAGAGAAGAGGGAUGAUGACCAUCACUUAUGGCCUCAGGUCUAAAUGCUACAAAUUACUUUAUUCCACUAACUUUUCUGUUUAUAAAUUUUCUCCUAGAAAUUGUGACUAACAUGAAAAUGUAAGAAUCUGUGACAGAUGAGACAAACUUCAUGUGCCCCACCCAGAGUAUUUCAGGGCAAUGUUUUCAGUGCUUGAUUGUCUAUUGGGAAUAGAAUAACCCAGCUCCUUUAAGUCAUGACCACCCCUAGGGUAUAUUUUAUACUUCAGAGCCUUCUGCAGAACAGGCUGCAGUUGGAGCUUCCUGAGAAAUCACACAUCUGCUUGGCUUUUUCCCUUCCCUCUCCUGCUUCCUGCCUGCCUUCUUAUAAGAGAACAUCCUUAAUACAUCAUUUAUACUGGGAUCCCUGCAUCAGGAUCUGCUUCUGGACCUACAAGAAACAUGCAUUGGAUGUGGAUGGAGCGAAAGUUUAAAGGACAGAAUCAGCAUGUUUAAUUCGCUUGAGAGUUUAUUAAGUACUUAGAGUGCUCCAGGCACUGCCUUCUGAGAACAGAUGCCCACUCACUACUGCAACCGUAUGUCUCCCCUUGCCAUGAAAAAGCAUCAGAGAACACAUGGUCUGGACCUGCAGGGAGCUCCUGGUCUAGCUGCAGAGACAGAAAAAGAAGAACUUGCUAAACAGUGUGGAUUGGUGCCAUGACUCAAAAUGGGACCAUGCCUUCAGAUCUCCAUCUGCUCCACCCAGGUAAUAAGGACACUUGGAGCCUUUGUGCUCCAUUUGUGACUGGUAAUAUGGGGACCUAAAGGCUAAGGUGUUCUACCUUCAGCAAGAAAGAACAAUCUUAAAGUCUGGUAGAAAAGGAUCAUACCAUAUACUCUGGGGAACCGAUUUCUGAUGGCAUUGUUUAAAUGACUAUGAAAUCAUACCAUUGGACUGAUUCAGGAGUUGCAGAUGUCUAGUUGAGAAGCGGAUGCAUUCAUGAAACAACACAAGAUCAGGUGGAAGAAGAGUUAAUUUUAUAGAACUGAAUGAGCAGAUGCUUAUGAUUUUUAUUUGAAAUACUGUUAAUGUUUUAUUGCUCUAUUUUCUGGAAAUAAGAAUUUCUUUUCUUUUUCUCUUAAGCUAUCACUCAAACAAUUUUAUAGACUAUGCUAAUUUCUUGUAAACAGAAAUGAAACUUUUCUUUUCUUCCCUGACUCACCCAUUCAAAAUUUGGGAAUUCUCCUGAGUCUUGUUAUCUUCAUGGCAAUAUAGUUAUUUGCAUAGAUACCAUAAGAGUCUGUCCUCCUUGUUAACAGGACAUGAACAAAAACAUUGGUAAUACAACCAAGGUUUUGCCUGGAUGUCAUAUUUGAGAAUGACGCUUAUUUGAUCGGAUAUGACCAGACACUUUUAAGGAACUAAAGUUGACCUUAUGGAGCCAAUGCUUACAAAGCUCCUCUUGUGAAAACUGGCUUGAAACCUGGCUUUGCAAGGGUUCACAGCUUUGUAGGUGAGCAAGGAAUGUCACUUCCCAGCAGGCUCUGGAAUCUUAGGAUAUUUGUGGGAUAUCAAGAAGAAAGGAACGCCUGCCAAAUCGAUAGGUACUGCAUGUGAAAUCUGAUGUGAGUUGUUGGCUUGGCUUCUUAUCCUCAAGAGGCUUUGAAAAGUCCAAUUUGACAUUCUUUUAUGAAAACUUCCAGCAAAGCAAAUAUAAUAUGAUCUAUAUGUAAAUUGCCACUCUUGCUGCACCUAUGCAAAUAACCAGGCUGAAUCUCAUGAGACCAACCUUAAUUUGUGAUCAAGAAUAAUCUUUCUUUGAGAUGGUCUUUGAUCAAAAGAGGAGGAGUAACUGUAGAAAGAAAACUUGUGUUUCCGUGGAAAUCAUAGCACAUCCUUCUGGAUUAGCAGAUUCUGAUUCUGUUAAUUUGUGUUUGAGCUAUGUAGUACCUCUUUGUAAACUGCUGGUAACUGAUCAAUAUGCAAACUUUGUAGCCAAGCUUUCUCUAUCACUGUGGAAAAUCAGUUUGGUACUUAUCUGCACAGAUUGUUAACCUUGCACAGAUUGUCAACGUUUACCAGAUUUUCAAUUAUUCCAGUUUCCUUCAGCAUCUGGCUACAAACUAACAGCCUUAAAAACGAUUCUAUUUUUAUUUCUUCCUCUAGACUUGUAGUCAGUGAGAACUAAAAUCUCACUGCCUGGAUCCUUAUUGGGACUCUAGGUUGCCCUGUUGCUGGUCUUUACCCCCUAGGAUUUGAAGAAUCACUGCAAGUUCAAGUUUGAGGAUUUGUUAUAAGCCUAGAAGAACUUAUUAUCAUUCCAGCUAAACAUUCAUGAUCCAACUAUCUCUUUGGAUAAGCCACUCUUUGGACUAUUCAGAAAUUUUGGCAAAAUGCUCAGGUGAUGCACGCCCUUAUUGGGGAAGUAAUGAACACUGUGGACAACAUUACAAAUAUGAUCAACAUCUGAUCUUCAAAAACUCAUUUUCUUGGAAAUUACAUCAAGAUAAGAUCUGCUCUGCCUAUCACCUCAGACCCUAGCCUUCAACUGGGGCAGAACCCCUUGUGCCUUAUUGUUUGCCACUUAUCAAGUCCACAGUGAUGUUGCUGAGUCAGCACCAGGUCUGCACUCCACUCUCUUUGUGGAUAUUUCAUCUAUUGGAAGAGGCAUCAGAGGAAAACUUCUCUUGUCCUCAUUGGAAGAGACCUUGUCAGGAAUGCUUGGUUAAGACACCUGCACUUCAGGAUUCUAAAACAAUUGACCUUUGCUAACACUUCUCAUCAGAUGGUUGAAUUUUAUUUUUCAGGAGAAACACCUACAAAAGCCCUGGAGAGACUGUUUAUUAGAUCCUGCUUCAUCCCACUCAGGAGGUUUAUAUUUGUCUUUUACUUGCUCAGCAAUUGGACAAAAGGAGUUCAUCCUGUCAUCCUGACACUGUGGAACUUUACCUGAGCUCUGUGUUCCUGGAAAACAGUGACACUGAUGAUUAAGAAAUCCCUCCAUCGUUUGUGUUCCUGAGAGACUUGCUUCAGUGAAAACAUCCUGCUUCAUAUGACUUAGAUAAGUCUUCCCAUCUACUUUUUCUCAUGACUCCAGUAAGAUUCAUGUGUACAGGUGUCUGUGGACAACUGAUUUUUGAUGAAGGUGCCAAGAUAAUUCAAGGGGGAAAGUAGUCUUUUAAGCAAAUAGUUCUGGGGAAACUGAAUAGCCAUAAGCAAAAUAAUUAAGUUGAAUUCUUACUUUACGAUAUCUUUUUGAAAAAUUCAAAAUGGAUUAAAGAUCUAAAUAUAAGAACUAAAACUAUAAAAAAACUUAGAAGAAAAUAUAGGAGUAAAUUUUCAUGACCUUAGAUGUGACAGUAGAUUUUUAGAUAUGACACCCAAAAGCACAAGCAACAAAAUAAAAAUCUAGCAAUUGAGCUUUAUCAAAAUUAAAAGCUUCUGGGCUUCAAAGAAUAUUAUCAAGAAAGUCAAAAGACAAUCAAUAGACUAUAGAGAUACUUGCAAGACAUAUAUCUGAUAAGGAAUUUGUAUGUAGAAUACAUAAGGAACUCCUCAAAUCAAUAAUAAAAAAGACAACCUAAUUUUAAAAGUGAUAAAUAAUUUAAAGACACAUUCUUUCAAGAGAGAUAAAUAAAUGGCCAAUAAACAUGUAAAAAGAUGCUUGGCAUCACUAGUCAUCAAGUAAAUACAAAUCCAAACCACAAUGAGAUAAAAGUAGCAUACCCACAAGGACAAUUAGAAUCAAAACAUCAGAUAAUAAUAUGAGCUGAAAAGAAGGUGGAGAAAUUUGAAUCCUCAUAGACUGUUGCUGGAAAUGUAAAAUAGUGCAGGAACUUUGGAAAACCAUCUGGCAGUUUCCUCAAAUGAUAAGACAUAGAUUUACCAUAAGACUCAGAAAUUUCCCACUUAUGUAUAUAGUCAGGAGAAAUAAAAACACAAAAUGUACACACAAAUGUUUACAGCUCCAAUAUUCAAUACUCAUAAAAGCCAAAAGUUGAAAUCAACCCACAUGCCUACCAACUGAUGAGUGAAUAAACAAAAUGUGACAAAUUUAUAUAGUAGAAUAUUAUUUGUCCAUAAAAAAUCAGGUAGUGAUACAUGCUAUAACGUGAAUGAACCUUGAUUACAUUGUGUUAAGUGAAGAUGCCGAUCACAAAAGGCCAUAUAUUUUAUGACCUAUUUAUAUAAAAUGUCCAGAAUAAGCAACCUAUAGAUUUGAUUUCAUCAUCUAUAGGUAUAGAAAGUAGGUUAAUAAUUGCGUAGAGAUGGGAAGGAUUCAAGGGGUAGGGUGGGAAAUGAUAGCUAAACAGUAAUUUUUUUGAGGUAAAAAAAUUUUCUAACACUGUGAUGAUAGAUUCAAAAUAUGUGAAUAUACUAAAAGCCACAAUAUUAUAUACUUUAAACGCAUGAAUUAUAUGGUAUGUGAAUUGUAUCUCAAUAAACUUGUUAAAAAAAAAGAAA